AGGUCCUGCGAUACCUCUAUGAUUAUACCACGGUUCCCUUAACUUAAAGCCUAAGCCUAUAUGCGAUGUAUAGACUCCUGCAACCAUGACAUAUUUGUUUCCUUGAACAUAAUUUCAUUUCUUUCUAAAAGAACUAAAAGAAAUGAGAAUGGUUAAUUCCACAAAAAAAGAAGUCUUUUUUUCACGAGGUACAACUCAAAAUUCCUACUUAUUUAUUUUUACUGACUCGACCAUAG
rnacentral:lncRNA from 1 species